ensembl:lncRNA
UUUUUUUUUUUUUUUUUUUUUUUUUGUCUUUUUAUUUUAUUUUAUUUUUGUCUUUUUGCCAUUUCUAGGGCCGCUCCCCAGGGCAUAUGGAGGUUCCCAGGCUAGGGGUCUAAUCGGAGGUGUAGCCGCCGGCCUACACCAGGCCACAGCAACGCGGGAUCCGAACCGUGUCUGCAACCUACACCACAGCUCAUGGUAAUGCCAGAUCCUUAACCCACUGAGCAAGGCCAGGGAUCAUACCUGCAACCUCAUGGUUCCUAGUCGGAUUUAUUAACCACUGAACCACGACGGAAACUCCUGGAUCUCCUUGUAUUACCCUGGUGAUUAGACUAAGAAUUCAAGGUUAUGUACUCGAUUAACUUCCCAAUUGUUAACAUGCCCUUUAGGGGCAGGUUCAGUCUUACCCCAUCUGUGUCUCCAGCCUCCCAGACUCCACAUUCGUGAUGCCGUAAUCACACUGACAUUAUUUUAUUUCCAGCAGGUACUAAAAUUUCAGAACUUGGGGCCUGCAUCAGUGCUAUUCCUUCUACUAAGAUUUGUGUCCCCUCAAAUUCUUUGCCAGCAAUCUCCUAGCAUCCUUCAGGUCUCAGAGAACAUCCUGGAUGUCCAAACCCUCCACAUUACCCCUGUUUCAUCUCUCUUGAUUUCCUUUCAUUUUGCUUUCUUCCUGGCUGAUAUCAAAAUACAAUCAUUUGUGCAAAUAUCCCAUGCCUAUAAACAAACAGGUAAUUCCACUGACGUAAAAAGCCUCUUACUUUUUUAUUAUUUUAUCCCUCAAAUUUAGCAAUGUGCUUCAAAUGAAGCUUUUAAUAAACCUAAAGAAAAAGAAACAAGUAUAUAUUAAUUAGAAUCUUAAUACUAAUUUAAUAUUAAGCCACUAAUAAAUACUAUGAAAACCAUUGAUAUUUGUUUACCAAACACAUAUUUUACUAAAUGAGAUUUGAUUUAUGUUUGUUUCUCAGAGGUAUUUUCUCUUUUCUUUAAAGUAUCUCACGCACGUUAAGGUAGGUAUUCUUUUAACUGGGGGCUUUAUUCUUUCCUAUGAUACUUAAGUUUGUAUACAUUUUUAAAACCUUAUUUCUAUGGUGCUAAGACUAAAAAUAAGUAGAUUUCCGACUUGAGGAGCAAGUGUAAGAUUCAACACUGAUUUCCAGAUUUUAAAUCUACCUACCUCUACUACAGUGCUGGUUUUGCCGGCACAAGAUAAAAGAAAAUAGCAAAGUGAACUUUGGACUAAGAAAAAAGCACUAUAAUUCUUUAAGUUUUGUUCAUGUUUCCUUUUGGAGCUUUUUUUUCAGUGUAGGUUUCAUUACAUUAAAAUAUAAGAUUAAUGUUCACUGCAAAAAUUCUGGAUAUACAAAUGCUUCAUAUUUUGAGAACCCAUACCAAUGUCUUACUUUGUUCAUAUGUAUUUCUUCACAUGUAUUUUAUUUAUGAUCAUCUUUCUCAUUGUUUAACAGAACACAUUUUUAAAAUGCUGAUAAAUUUAUGAAGAUUUAUUUGGAAAAAGGAUUAUAUUAAAUGAUUAUUUUCUGUCACAGAUGUGUUUUCUUUUGGAGGCAAGCUAUAAUUGACCUCUUUAUCAGUAUAAAAUUGAAAACAAACAAUACAUUUUUGCAUUUUAAAACACUUAACAGUUAAUGCAUUAGUUUGCUAGGGCUGUCUUUCUGCAAUACCACAAAUGUGAUGACAUGAACAACAAAAACUUGUCUCCUAGUUCUGGAGGCUAGAAGUCUGAGAUCAAGGUGUCAGGAGGGUUGGGUUCUUUUCAGGGCUGGAGAGUCUGUUCCAUGUGUGUUCCCGAGCUUCCAGUGGGCUGCUAGCUGUCGUCAUCUUUGGCAUCCAUUGGCUGCUGCCAAAUCCUCCAUCUCUACCUUCAUCUCCACGUGGCUUUCUUCUUGUGUGCCAGUCUGUCUCUAAAUUCCUCCCUUUUAUAAGGACACCGUUCACAUUGGAUUGAGCCCACUCUAACGACCUCAUUUUUACCUAAUUACCUCUGUAAACAUCUUAUCUCCAAAUCAAGUCAAAUCCUGAGGUACUGGUGGUUAGGACCUCAACAUAUGAAACUGGAAGAUAUAAAUCAAUCUAGAGUAGUGUUGGGAUAGCGACAGAUCCUGCUGCAUUACAAGACAUCACAUAACUUUACAGACCAUCUAUCAGAAUGUGCAGAACAAUCAAGAAAAAUGUUCUAAGUAAAUUAAUUAACAAUGCAUUUUAAAGAUACUGCAAGUUAAUGUUAGAGAAAAGUAAAUGAGAGCAUUAUCAAAGAAUUUCAAAAAAAAUUGUUCUCAAUUGAUAGGCCUAUAUAAUACUUAUAAAAUAAAUAUCACUUCCUUGGGUAAAAUAUGUUAAAAUAUAUUUACAUAUGUUUAAAUACUAUGAAAGCUCUAAAAGAUACUGGCUGUGCAAUCAGAAAUGAAAGAGUUUUUGGGGUUUGGGGAGGGUUUAUUUUUCGGUCUUUUUGUCUUUUUUUUUUUAGGGCUGCGCCCACGGCAUGUGGAGGUUCCCAGGCUAGGGGCCUAAUUGGAGCUGUUGCUGGCAGCCUAUGCCAGAGCCACAGCAAUAUCAGAUCCGAGCCGUGUCUGCAACCUACACCACAGCUUAGGGCAACACCAGCUCCUUUAACCCACUGAGUGAGGCCAGGGAUCAAACCCACAACCUCAUGGUUCCUAGUCGGAUUCGUUUCCACUGUGCCACAACAGGAAAUCCAGAAACGAAAGAGUUUUGAAUGCCAAUUCUACUUUUUAUGAGCCUAACAACCUAGAUGGGAGCCAGUUUCUCAAAUCUCAAUUUCCAUGUAAAUAAACUAAGAAAAAUAUAAUCACUGUUCCUAUUCACCACAGUGUUCUAAUCGUUUAGGUAUUUACUUGUCUCCUUUUUCUUCUUCCUUAGUUACUGAAUCCUGAAAGAACAGGUGGACUAUUCCCCUGAUUGCCUAAGACACGGUGUUUAGCAGAUACUGACAUUUGCUGGGCAUAUACUGUAGCAGGAUAACAAAAGUGUGCUUAAGUUGUGAUUUACUAUUCAAAUGUUAUAUUUUUAUGAUUUUAUUAGUGUGGUUAAAAUAUAUGUUCCGCGACUAGGAUGUUCUGCAUGGAGAUGACCAUGUCUGUAUACUUAAAGGAAAGAUCUAAAAAGCAAACAAAAUACUUUGAGUUGCUGCCAUUAAUCAGCUUUUUGCAGGUGGAGCUCAUUUUGUGUCGACCCAACUACUACCCUUCAUCUUUGUUGACACUUAUCUAUACGCUGAAAGUAAAAACAAAAUAUUUUUCUCCUUUAAGACAGUUUAUUCACUUAAAGCCCUUCUUCUUCCAAAUUAAAUGCUAUAACUUUACACAUAACCACUUCUAAUAACCAAGUAAACAGAGGAGUGAUACUUCACUUUAUCAUUUAAGUCAGGAGAACUGGACUGUUAUCUGGAUUACAGGUGCCCAGACAACCUAUGUUUUGUAAAAUCUCUUCUACCCUACCCAUUCUGUUGUGCCUUCUUUCCAAUAUAACAUACAUAAUGCAUACUAUUGUUGCAUUACAGUACUGGUAAUAUUUCUGUGAUAUGACAAAAAUAGAAUAUCAGAACACUUUAAAUAAUGAUUAUUUUGAAAAUUCAUCAUUAAUAUUUAAUAGCAGAGGAAUUAAUAUAAUUAAAUAAUAGCAGUCCAAACCCUGUAAAUAGAUGACCUUUAAGCCACAACCAUAUGUCCAACCAAAUUUACAUUUUAGACAUCCAGUGAAUCUCAAUAACUAUUUGAUUUCUAUUACUACGCCACAGUACAUAUUUCAAAAUAAAUUGAAGUUAAAAGAAUAGAUUUUAUGAUUCAAGAAUAAGCGGUAACAUCUGCCUUAAACUCCAACUCAUCACUGAAUGAAUGAAUUAAAUGUUCCAUUCAGAUUAUCUAUUGAGAGGUUCACUUUUUUAAUGUAGAGCUCGCUCUCUCUCCUUUCAUACAAGAAAGCGAUCAUGUAUGCUUAUCAAGUGUAUAGUAUAAAAUGCCUCUAAAUCUAAGUGGUCUUGUUCCUUAUCUUUAAAGUAGGAAAAAAGUAAAAGCACACCUUACAAUAGAAAAAAUAAUGUGUUCAGUAUCUAUAACCGUGGUUGUUAACAGCAGCCAGCUAAUAACCAACUCAAGCUUCAGCAAUAACUUGAAAUGACACCUCAACAAUAUUUUCAAGAACACUUUGAAAGAGACUGUUUAAUAUUUAAUAUGGCCUUUAACUCUCUUUUAGAAUAGAAAUAUCAAAGUGCCUGCAGAUUAUGUAGAUUGGUACUAUUCAGGUGAACUCUUUAGCAUUCCAACUGAUGUCUACAGCCGGCUUCUUUGCUCUAAUAGCGACUCUGAACCUUCACAUCUUUUCAAAGCUGGUGUGAUCCUUACUCCUGUCCGCCCAGUGGAAAGAGAAAUAUCCCAGCUGAGAAGAUCCUCUAUACACACACUUAACUGGGGGCCCAUCUUCCCUUGGAUUCUUACCUUCCCCUCUAGCACUUCUGGUUUCAUGCAUACGGCAUGUAUGAGAAAUCUAUUUACUUCAGUCCUGUAUAAUUUGCUCUCCAUUCAUGGACAUCUCCAUUCAGUUCCUCAUCACCUACUACUUCUGCUCUACUUGCUGCGAUGUUCCGACUUGUCACAUUAAAAUAUACCAAAAAAAGAAAAAAGGCAAAAAACCUUCUUCUCCUUGCCAGUAAGUAGAUAGAUAGAUAGAUAGAAAGAUAGAUACAGUUAUAUAUAGAUAUAAACACACAUAUAUAAACAUGUAUAAUAUGCAUAUAUAUACCCAAUAAGGCCAUGAUUAUUGAAAAAGAGACAUAUAUCAGUAUCUCAAUUUUGUCAUUUUUCUACUUCUGCUUAAUAUGGUAUGACAGAUUUAUGCCUUGUCAUGACAGACAAUUUUAAUUAGCAUGUAAUAUUAUUAAUGUCCCCAUAUGACUUAAAACUCUUAUUUCUGAUAACCCUUUGAUGCCUAAACUUGACUGCUUAAGAAUAUACUUAAAUAUUUGUAUAAAAAAAUUAAAAGGGACAAAUGUAUAUCAACUAACAAUUCUUUCAUCAAAUAAAAUAUGUUUUAAAGAAAAUAUCCCAAAAUCUUGAGAAUUUAGACUACGAAAACACAGGCAAAAAUAUACAGAUAUUAUUAUGCAUUUAUAACAUAUUUACGUAUCACUGAAUGCUAGAAUGGGUAUUAAGAUGGUUCAACUAUCGGUGAUUACUUUCACUGAUGUAUUGUUUUUCAAUAACACAGUAAGUUGAAAUGUGUCAAAAUAUCACUAAAUUAAACUGGGUACUACACAUAAGAAAUUACGUUAACUUUAGUAGCAAUAGAAUAAAUCCACUGUUACUAGCAUAUACACAGUAGCCUUCAUUUACAAACGUAUGUCAAACAUGUACAAACACAACCCUCACCUUAUACUUAAUUAAUUCUAUAAUUGAUAAUCUGAUUAGAUUGAUUCAGACAUGUGAAUGGCAUAUUUCACACAAUUU